AUUGAACGCUGGCGGCAUGCCUUACACAUGCAAGUCGAACGGUAACGCGGGGCAACCUGGCGACGAGUGGCGAACGGGUGAGUAAUAUAUCGGAACGUGCCCAGUUGUGGGGGAUAACUGCUCGAAAGAGCAGCUAAUACCGCAUACGACCUGAGGGUGAAAGCGGGGGAUCGCAAGACCUCGCGCAAUUGGAGCGGCCGAUAUCAGAUUAGGUAGUUGGUGGGGUAAAGGCCUACCAAGCCGACGAUCUGUAGCUGGUAUGAGAGGCCGACCAGCCACACUGGGACGGGGACACGGCCCAGACUCCGACGGGAGGCAGCAGGGGGGAAUUUUGGACAAUGGGGGCAACCCUAAUCCAGCCAUGCCGCGUGCGGGAAGAAGGCCUUCGGGUUGUAAACCGCUUUUGUCAGGGAAGAAAUCCUUUGGGUUAAUACCUCGGAGGGAUGACGGUACCUGAAGAAUAAGCACCGGCUAACUACGUGCCAGCAGCCGCCGUAACAC
rnacentral:rRNA from 1 species